CCCCUUAGCAGAGAAGAUUGCUCUGCCUGCAGCUGUACCCGUGGACAAGCUUGGAUUCCAACAGUUCUGUUCACAGCAAUGCAGCUGUGGCAGUUCCCUGCUUAGAGUGAAGCUGGAAUUCGUUGGCACUGGAGCACAUUGUCCCAGGAAGCGCCUACUCCCUGCCAGGACUAUUUGGUACCCGAAGCCGAGCACACAGAUCAUCCUGGGAGGACAAAGAGCCAAAAGACAGCUGGUUUCCAAAGGAACGUUUUUCCCAUUCCACAGAUCCGUACCAGUCAGUGGGACUGACCAGGCUGGUUCCUGUCACUUCCUGCCCCAGCAGUCAGGUUUGUCUCUCUGCUCCUUUUGGGGCUGCUUUGACCACGUGCCCGUAGAGGAGGAGACACUCUCUUCCCAUGAGCCCUAACACUUGCUUUUCCUGGGGGUUUAGAAAUUGAGGAUACUGCCUUGCAAACUGAAGCUGGAGAUAUUCCUUCAGCACC